rnacentral:rRNA from 1 species
UGGGAUAACACCUGGAAACAGAUGCUAAUACCGGAUAACAACACUAGACGCAUGUCUAGAGUUUGAAAGAUGGUUCUGCUAUCACUCUUGGAUGGACCUGCGGUGCAUUAGCUAGUUGGUAAGGUAACGGCUUACCAAGGCAAUGAUGCAUAGCCGAGUUGAGAGACUGAUCGGCCACAUUGGGACUGAGACACGGCCCAAACUCCUACGGGAGGCAGCAGUAGGGAAUCUUCCACAAUGGACGAAAGUCUGAUGGAGCAACGCCGCGUGAGUGAAGAAGGGUUUCGGCUCGUAAAGCUCUGUUGGUAGUGAAGAAAGAUAGAGGUAGUAACUGGCCUUUAUUUGACGGUAAUUACUUAGAAAGUCACGGCUAACUACGUGCCAGCAGCCGCGGUAAUACGUAGGUGGCAAGCGUUGUCCGGAUUUAUUGGGCGUAAAGCGAGUGCAGGCGGUUCAAUAAGUCUGAUGUGAAAGCCUUCGGCUCAACCGGAGAAUUGCAUCAGAAACUGUUGAACUUGAGUGCAGAAGAGGAGAGUGGAACUCCAUGUGUAGCGGUGGAAUGCGUAGAUAUAUGGAAGAACACCAGUGGCGAAGGCGGCUCUCUGGUCUGCAACUGACGCUGAGGCUCGAAAGCAUGGGUAGCGAACAGGAUUAGAUACCCUGGUAGUCCAUGCCGUAAACGAUGAG